rnacentral:lncRNA from 1 species
ACUACCAAUACCAUGCUGAAGGAGGAGCUAAUUGUAUCUUCUUUAAUGCAACCAGCUUUCACGAGGGUGGACUAAACUUCACCUAUAACAAGCGCGUGAACGGAACGUGGAAACAUGUGCCACACGUUGCAACUUACAUCACAGAAAAAGAUCCUUACUACGAACCCCACGAGAAUCGGACAAGUCCCAACAGCAUCUGGGUGCUGAAGUCACCAGGCAAUCCAGAUAAUAGAACCUACAGGUUGAUCUAUAGCGGAAGCAACGGCUGCUCGGUCUUCCGGGUGCCAGGACAACAUAACGGUAAGAAAGACACGGAGACC